rnacentral:rRNA from 1 species
AUUGAACGCUGGCGGCAUGCCUUACACAUGCAAGUCGAACGGUAACGGGUCCUUCGGGAUGCCGACGAGUGGCGAACGGGUGAGUAAUAUAUCGGAACGUGCCCAGUAGUGGGGGAUAACCGCUCGAAAGAGCAGCUAAUACCGCAUACGACCUGAGGGUGAAAGGGGGGGAUCGCAAGACCUCUCGCUAUUGGAGCGGCCGAUAUCAGAUUAGCUAGUUGGUGGGGUAAAGGCCUACCAAGGCAACGAUCUGUAGUUGGUCUGAGAGGACGGCCAGCCACACUGGGACUGGGGCACGGCCCAGACUCCUACGGGAGGCAGCAGUGGGGAAUUUUGGACAAUGGGCGCAAGCCUGAUCCAGCAAUGCCGCGUGCAGGAAGAAGGCCUUCGGGUUGUAAACUGCUUUUGUCAGGGAAGAAACCUUCUGGGCUAAUACCCCGGGAGGAUGACGGUACCUGAAGAAUAAGCACCGGCUAACUACGUGCCAGCCGCCGCGGUAA